rnacentral:ncRNA from 2 species
UUAAUGCUAAUUGUGAUAGGGG